AAGAGAGAGAAAGUGAGUGAGAGAGAGAGAAAGAGUGAGUGUGUGAGAGAGUGAGAGAGAUAAAGAGUUAAUGAGAGAGAAAAAGAGAGUGAAAAAGAGAGAGUGAGUGAGAGAGAAAGGAGUGCAGGGUAUCCACCCAUCCCACGUCUCUUCUGCCAUAGCAGCACACUCACUGCUCUCACUAACACCCACGGGUGUCUUACCCCUGCCCUACCACCCUACACAGGCCCUCUACCACCCCACAUGGGCGCAGGUGUCUUACCCAUGCUCUACCACCCCACAUAGGCCCUCUACCACUCCACAUGGGCACAGGUGUCUUACCCGUGCUCUACCACCCCACAUGGGCACAGGUGUCUUACCCGUGCUCUACCACCCCACAUGGGCCUUCUUCCUUUGCGCUGGCGUGUGUUGCUGAUAUGGGCAGCGUGUUAUAAUGCCGUGCUGAUGGCGUUGUAGGAAAGCAAAGAGAAUCACAGGCUGCAAAUUGGCCAUCUGGUGUUUAUGAAUGACGAUGAACAACACUGACGAGAAAUAUCUCUUAGUUUGUUAUGACAGACAGAAAGCCGUGUUGGGGUUUUGACGCGUUAGUUAUUAUUCCACAGGGUUUUACUUGACACGUUACUUGACACGUUCAUUCAGACAUCACGAUUAAAGAAGCACGAGGAACAAGAUGGCUGACGUGUCUGAAGUUUAAGUGAAUAAGAUUUAGAUCAUCCCGUUUGGACAUCUCCAUCGCAGUGUGCAUUCAGCCCACGGAACAGAUGAUAGGUGCUACUUAAGUUUUCACCAAAUAGAUUUCUACAUUUGGGUUAAAUAAUUAAUGACUAUUUGACGCAGGGGCUAGCUUGGACUAUUUCUCUUUUUCACAAGAAGACCAGACAUCAUCUACCAUUACUCACACACCCUCCUCCAAGGCAAGUGGCAGAGCAGGGAACACACACACACACACACACACACACACUGGUUUAUCAGCACAGAGGGAACAUCAGAAUCCGGACUGAAACCAGUUCUGACUCGAAUCCUAACCAGAGCCACACUGGAUUUGGCGCUCAAUCAGAGACAUCUCUUUCACACUCAAACCUGUGUUUAUAUGUGUGUGUGUGCGUUUAGAUGACUGCGUUGACCUGGGUUAUUUGACAUGGUCACUAGGUUAAUGUUUGUUAGUCACUCAUCAAUACUGUUCACUUGAAUGUUUGUUGAUUGUGGACUUCCAUGUAGCAUGCCAUCAGCACGUACUGUAAGUGAGUGUGUGGGUAUGUGUGUUUACGUGUGUGGGUGCGCGUGUUUAUGUGUGUGGGGUGCGUGUGUUUAUGGGCGUGUGUGUUUAUGGGUGUGUGUGUGUGCGUGUGUUUAUGGGUGUGCGGGUGCAUCUGUUUAUGUGUGUGUGUGUGUAAGGGAAGUAAUUAUGAUUCCUGGUGCAUUCUCCUUCACUGCUGCUACAUGUGUCAGUUCUUUAGUUGUCUACGCUGUUUGUCAUUUAGAGAUAACCAUAAUCUGUACAAUACCCACAGGAAGUUUCCAUUUUUCUCCAAAAUAAAUCUUUUGAAAUAAAUUCAGGAGCUCAACGAGAA